GCACUGUGGAAGCUACAGGCAGGGCUGAGUCGGCGGCAAGGAGCAGGGCCUCCUGUUAGAAAGUCCCAGAAAGAAACAAACCCUCGGGGACCACCCAGAAGGCCAGGAUCAUCCGAGGGGCCGCCCCGUGGGGUCUCCACGGCUGCACGUGUAUCCUGAGGCCCAAGUCCUCCUCACAGUGGCUUCACUGGGUGCUGGGACUCUGCAGGGACCGAGCUGUUGGUGCUCCAGCUUUCAGGGAGUUCCUGCCUUGGGGUGGACGGACAGCAGCACUCUGCCUCCAGCAAGAGGUGGCUCUGGGGGACAGCUCUCCGUGGGCUUGGACACCCGUGCUCCCAGACAACAGCUUCUGCCGUGCUCCCAGAUGAGAGCCAGAGCCCUGCCUAUCGGGAGGCCACACUCAUGCCCAGGACUUCUAGGCCUCAGCAGUGCUCCCAAGGGUGUGGCACCAGGUGAAGCAGGGCAGGUAUGUG
rnacentral:lncRNA from 1 species